rnacentral:rRNA from 1 species
UACGAGGGGUGCAAGCGUUGCUCGGAAUUAUUGGGCGUAAAGGGUAGGUAGGUGGUCUCGUUUGUCUGGGGUGAAAGCCUUGAGCUUAACUCAAGAAGUGCCCUAGAAACGGCGAGACUAGAGUCUUGGAGAGGGUCGUGGAAUUCCCGGUGUAGCGGUGAAAUGCGUAGAUAUCAGGAGGAAUACCGGUGGGGUAGACGGCUCUCUGGACCGCCACUGACGCUGAGACACGAAAGCGUGGGUAGCAAACAGG